UCUGGCAUCACAAAGGGCUUAAUGCCCUACAGAAGGGCUGGAGAGAACUAGCUGAAACCCCCCUUCUCCCUCUGUCUUCUGAUGUGUGUGAAGCUGUUGUGAGAAGAUGACAUACGUGGAGGAGCUUUUCCAGACUCCACAAUUACCAAGGCUUUGGUCUCUGACCUCCAACCUCCAUAACUGUGAGAAAAAAAGUUGUUAUUUGUAUAUAAUCAAGUGACAAGUAUUUUGUUACAGAAGUACAAAUGGGCGGAAACAGGAAGGCAGGAAGAUUGCAGAGGGAGGAUCUUGUUUGGAAUUGGAGAACAGAUUGGCAACAGUUAGAGAGCAGAGAUUCCAGGAGCAAAGAAGGAGCGGUGAUGGUGGGCCAGCCUGGUGAAUGGAUGUUCUAUCGCCAGUGCCUGGGUGAGUGCAGUUUUCUACCGCAAGCAGGCGUGCAGCAUGCUUCCUCCCAGACACGGGCCAGGGCAGCUAGCGAGCUCCAAUCCCACAUUCAGUUAUUCAACACAAAUAAGACUGGAAUUAAAAUUUCAUAACCCUAUGGCUUUCACCCAAACAUCUAUCUAUCUGCAUCCAGCCAUCCGAUCACUAAAAUCUUCAUCUGCAGCC